rnacentral:rRNA from 1 species
GAUGAGCGCUGGCGGCGUGCCUAAUACAUGCAAGUCGAGCGAAUGGAUUAAGAGCUUGCCCUUAUGAAGUUAGCGGCGGACGGGUGAGUAACACGUGGGUAACCUGCCCAUAAGACUGGGAUAAAUCCGGGAAACCGGGGCUAAUACCGGAUACCAUUUUGAACCGCAUGGUUCGAAAUUGAAAGGCGGCUUCGGCUGUCACUUAUGGAUGGACCCGCGUCGCAUUAGGUAGUUGGUGAGGUAACGGCUCACCAAGGCAAGGAUGCGUGGCCGACCUGAGAGGGUGAUCGGCCACACUGGGACUGAGACACGGCCCAGACUCCUACGGGAGGCAGCAGUAGGGAAUCUUCCGCAAUGGACGAAAGUCUGACGGAGCAACGCCGCGUGAGUGAUGAAGGCUUUCGGGUCGUAAAACUCUGUUGUUAGGGAAGAACAAGUGCUAGUUGAAUAAGCUGGCACCUUGACGGUACCUAACCAGAAAGCCACGGCUAACUACGUGCCAGCCGCCGCCGUAA